rnacentral:piRNA from 1 species
UAACCACAUGACGGCUUAUGCCC